rnacentral:tRNA from 1 species
GGGCCCGUAGCUCAGUCUGGUUUAGAGCAGGGGACUCUUAAUCCUCAGGUCGGGGGUUCAAAUCCCCUCGGGCCCG